AGAUGGGCUCAGGUGUGGAACCUCAGCAGAGCAGCCAAGCCCUGAGCACGGUCAGGGCCCUGCUCGGCCCGUCGCCAUUUCACGAGCGAGCUGUGGGGAAGCAGGAAGCCCAGGUACAAGACAAAGAACAAAAGUCCCAGGGGAACGUCACCAGCGUAGUCAUCUCCACACAUGCAAAGGUCCCUUCUGCCUUUUUUUUUUUUCCCCUUUGAAAUUUCAAAUUCCAGUUUGUGGACAAAGUCCUGCCUAUCUGAGAAUAUAGAUCUCCGACCACUGACCAAACUCCACUUCAAGCAGUCCCGAGGACUGCUCUUCCCCCUGCCCACGGACGUGUCUGCUCAGUCCUUGGAUCUCCCAGGAUCAUGCUGAAAAUUUUGCACUGGAGCACAGCACUGGUACUUUCACAAAGCGGAUUUUGUACUUAAUGUCAGCAGCUUCUUUCUGGGAAGAACCUCGGGAAUAACCAGGAGUGUGCAGAGUGCCUGAGUAACCUGUCAUGUCCCCAAUGUCCUCAAUCACCAGAGCACAGCAAGGAGUGAGUGAGAACCAGACAACACUCAGGAGCUCCACGUCCACAGCAGCUGCACGCUCCCCACACACCCUCCUGUGUGACACAACCCUCCUGUCCACUGCCAGAGAAACAAAAACACAGCAGAAAGCAAGGUAUGGGAACAUGGGAACACAGGAAGGGCAGGGGAUCACACGUUCCUACAGUUCCAGAAAACCACAGCCAGGACACUGCAGGGACAACUGCCUGGCUCCCAGCUAACAAACAUGGGAACUGCUGAUCAGCUGGGACUAUUCAGCCUAGGUAACGUUUGACUAUUGUUUGUCCCUUUACAUUCCUGCAAGUCCUGGUGCCAUUGGCUUCUUGUAUCAUAAAGAAAUUAAAAUAUAUUAUGACCGUAAACAACAUCAUUUGAGGAAAUGAACCACUUCUAGUAAACGUAUCAUGGAACGCUGAA